UACGUAGGGCGCGAGCGUUGUCCGGAAUUAUUGGGCGUAAAGAGCUCGUAGGCGGCCGGUAGUCGCUGUCGUGCUGUGAAAUCCCGGGGCUUAACCCCGGCGUGCAGUGGAUACGGGCCGGCUGGAGGCAGGCAGGGGAGAAUGGAAUUCCCGGUGUAGCGGUGAAAUGCGCAGAUAUCGGGAGGAACACCGGUGGCGAAGGCGACAUCCUGGACCAACACUGACGCUGAGGAGCGAAAGCCAGGGGAGCAAACGGG
rnacentral:rRNA from 1 species